ensembl:lncRNA
CUCCAAAAGGUUCUCAGUGAACCAGAUGGCAAACAGUUUAAAUUUCCCAACGCCAACCUCAUUGUUGAUGGCACUGAAAUCACGGCAAACGUGACAUAUGUAUACAAAGAGGAAGAUGUCAACCACCCUAGUGGUUUUCUACAGGAAGUCUUAAAAGUCUCAGGUCUCCUGACCACCACUGUUGCCCCAACAACAACUACCAACUCCACACCACUUCCUACCCUUUUGACUUCAGUGACAUCAACAACUAGAUUCGGCACAGUGGGAGUUUUUGUUAAACUGAUAUUCAAGGUCAAAACACCAGUCCCCACUGAGGAUGAUGUCCUUGGUGCCGUCAAGAAACAAUUGUCUCCUCAAUUCACGACCACUCAAACCACCUUCCAGAAUGCAACUUAUAUCAAACUUACAGAUACUUCAUUUGCCAUCGACCUUGGUUUCAAAAUAACCAAUGUAACCCAGGAGUCUCUAAGUAAUAGACUCACACUCACCAAUGAGACCGAAACCCAGAUACAGGAUUCAAUUAACAGACUACUCCAAAAGGUUCUCAGUGAACCAGAUGGCAAACAGUUUAAAUUUCCCAACGCCAACCUCAUUGUUGAUGGCACUGAAAUCACGGCAAACGUGACAUAUGUAUACAAAGAGGAAGAUGUCAACCACCCUAGUGGUUUUCUACAGGAAGUCUUAAAAGUCUCAGGUCUCCUGACCACCACUGUUGCCCCAACAACAACUACCAAAACCACACCACUACCUACCCUAUUGACUUCAGUGACAUCAACAACUAGAUUCGGCACAGCCGUGGUUAUUGUUAAACUGAUAUUCAACCUCAAAACACCAGUCCCCACUGAGGCUGAUGUCCUUGGUGCCGUCAAUAAGCAACUGUCUCUUCAAUCCAAGACCACUCAAACCACCUUCCAGAAUGCAACUUAUAUCAAACUUUCAGAUACUUCAUUUGCCAUCAACCUUGGUUUCAAAAUAACCAAUGUAACCCUGGAGUCUCUAAGUAAUAGACUCACAUUCACCAAUGAGACCUACGUCCAGAUACAGCUUUCAAUUAACACACUUCUCCGUCAACUUCUCAGUGAACCAAACGGCAACCAGUUUCAAUUUCCCAACGCCAACUUCAUUGCUGAUGGCACUGAAAUCAGGGCAAAUGUGACGUAUGUAUACAAAGAGGAUGAUGUCAACCACCCUAGUGGUUUUCUACAGGAAGUCUUAAAAGUCUCAGGUCUCCUGACCACCACUGUUUCCCCAACAACAACAACAACAACAACAACUACCAACACCACACCACUUCCUACCCUUUUGACUUCAGUGACAUCAACAACUAGAUUCGGCACAGUGGUGGUUUUUGUUAAACUGAUAUUCAAGCUCAAAACACCAGUCCCCACUGAGGAUGAUGUCCUUGGUGCCGUCAAGAAGCAAUUGUCUCGUCAAUUCAGGACCACUCAAACCACCUACCAGAAUGCAACUUAUAUCAAACUUACAGAUACUUCAUUUGCCAUCAACCUUGGUUUCAAAAUAACCAAUGUAACCCUGGAGUCUCUAAGUCAUAGACUCACAUUCACCAACGAGACCUACAUCAAGAUACAGGAUUCAAUUAACAGUCUACUCCAUAAGGUUCUCAGUGAACCAGACGGCAAACAGUUUCAAUUUCCCAACGCCAACUUCGUUGCUGAUGGCACUGAAAUCACGGCAAAUGUGACGUAUGUUUACAAAGAGGAAGAUGUCAACCACCCUAGUGGUUUUCUACAGGAAGUCUUAAAAGUCUCAGGUCUCCUGACCACCACUGUUGCCCCAACAACAACUACCAACACCACACCACUUCCUACCCUUUUGCUGACCACUCCUUUCAAUACCACAAGUGUUGGAGGUUUUCCUGGCUGGGCUUUGGCCAUUAUCAUUCCUUGUGGCAUCGCUAUCAUUCUGGUACCGCUGUGGAUCCUGCUAUGUUGUAUGCUAUGUGGCUGCUGUGCAGCUGUAAGGAGACGCUGGCACAGACGCAGAUCUUACAAUGUACAGUACACCACCAGAAAUGGACUCUUCUGAGGUGACAACACUAACAUCAGUAGGCAACUGUCAUCACAAGAACAGUCAAUUAUCUAUCUAUAUCUGCUAAUCAGGAGGUUUCAUUGGGUACUUGCAUCUAUUUUUUUAACACAAAAAGAAAAUUCAUAAUGGGCUUAAUAAUCCACAGGUGUUUUGUGCAUUGUACAAUUUUUUAUAUUAUACAUCUGAUUGUUAAUCAAAGUUACAGCUGAGCUGAACAGCAUGUAUGUUUAUGUAUUUAUUAGCUAUGUAAUUUAUGUGGUUUCAAGCUGUGCUGUCCACUGACUAAAACAGUUUUCAGUUAUUUAUUGAAUGUAUAAUAAGGUAGAUAAAAAUAUUAAUUUGAGUUUUGUUAUUUCCUCUCUUGAUUAACUAUUAACUAACUUAUUUUCAACUGCAAUACAGUACUUGUUUCUUCAUCACACAGUUUGACAAAUGUAAUAAAGACUUUGCAAAUCAGUAUUAAGAAAACAUUGU